UGUACAGCUAUCGUGCAGUCGAGCGGACAGAAGGGAGCUUGCUCCCGGAUGUUAGCGGCGGACGGGUGAGUAACACGUGGGUAACCUGCCUGUAAGACUGGGAUAACUCCGGGAAACCGGAGCUAAUACCGGAUAGUUCCUUGAACCGCAUGGUUCAAGGAUGAAAGACGGUUUCGGCUGUCACUUACAGAUGGACCCGCGGCGCAUUAGCUAGUUGGUGAGGUAACGGCUCACCAAGGCGACGAUGCGUAGCCGACCUGAGAGGGUGAUCGGCCACACUGGGACUGAGACACGGCCCAGACUCCUACGGGAGGCAGCAGUAGGGAAUCUUCCGCAAUGGACGAAAGUCUGACGGAGCAACGCCGCGUGAGUGAUGAAGGUUUUCGGAUCGUAAAGCUCUGUUGUUAGGGAAGAACAAGUGCAAGAGUAACUGCUUGCACCUUGACGGUACCUAACCAGAAAGCCACGGCUAACUACGUGCCAGCAGCCGCGGUAAUACGUAGGUGGCAAGCGUUGUCCGGAAUUAUUGGGCGUAAAGGGCUCGCAGGCGGUUUCUUAAGUCUGAUGUGAAAGCCCCCGGCUCAACCGGGGAGGGUCAUUGGAAACUGGGAAACUUGAGUGCAGAAGAGGAGAGUGGAAUUCCACGUGUAGCGGUGAAAUGCGUAGAGAUGUGGAGGAACACCAGUGGCGAAGGCGACUCUCUGGUCUGUAACUGACGCUGAGGAGCGAAAGCGUGGGGAGCGAACAGGAUUAGAUACCCUGGUAGUCCACGCCGUAAACGAUGAGUGCUAAGUGUUAGGGGGUUUCCGCCCCUUAGUGCUGCAGCUAACGCAUUAAGCACUCCGCCUGGGGAGUACGGUCGCAAGACUGAAACUCAAAGGAAUUGACGGGGGCCCGCACAAGCGGUGGAGCAUGUGGUUUAAUUCGAAGCAACGCGAGAACCUUACCAGGUCUUGACAUCCUCUGACAACCCUAGAGAUAGGGCUUUCCCUUCGGGGACAGAGUGACAGGUGGUGCAUGAUUGUCGUCAGCUCGUGUCGUGAGAUGUUGGGUUAAGUCCCGCAACGAGCGCACCCUUGAUCUUAGUUGCCAGCAUUCAGUUGGGCAACUCUAAGUG
rnacentral:rRNA from 1 species